CGCAAACGUUGUCCCGAGUGUUUAGCGCUCUGCACAGCCACCCCAAACUGUCAGCAGGGAAUACGUCGAAAUGCAUGGACGUCAUUAUUUGACACUUUAGUAUGGUUAGGGUUAGGGUUAGGGUUAGGGUUAGGACGCUAAGGACGGUCAGUGGGACCCGACACACGUCACCUCAUCUCCGAGUCCAGUGGUGGUUUCAAAAUGCUUUUAAGCUGACUUUCCUGCAAAAUUAAUGUGUGUGUGUGUUUGUGUGUGUGUGUAUGUGUGCGUGUAUGUGUUCAUGUCUGUGUGUGUGUUUGCUUGUGGGUGUGUGUUUGUGUGUGUGUGUGUGUGUGUUAAUGUCUGUGUGCGUGUGUGCGUGCAUACGUACGUGUGUGUGUGUGUGGAUAGGUGUAACCUGCUUAACCCAUUCCCCGUAUACAACCCAGAUAGCUAGGUUAACCCAUUCCCCGUAUAUAACACAGAUAGCUAGGUUAACCCAUUCCCCGUAUAUAACACAGAUAGCUAGGUUAACCCAUUCCCCGUAUAUAACACAGAUAGCUAGGUUAACCCAUUCCCUGUAUACAACACAGAUAGCUAGGUUAACCCAUUCCACGUAUAUAACACAGAUAGCUAGGUUAACCCAUUCCCUGUAUACAACACAGAUAACUAGGUUAACCCAUUCCCCGUAUACACCACAGAUAGCUAGGUUAACCCAUUCCCUGUAUACAACACAGAUAGCUAGGUUAACCCAUUCCCCGUAUACACCACAGAUAGCUAGGUUAACCCAUUCCCCGUAUACACCACAGAUAGCUAGGUUAACCCAUUCCCCGUAUAUAACACAGAUAGCUAGGUUAACCCAUUCCCC
ensembl:lncRNA